UUGUGAGGGAAGUCCGGCCUUCUCCCUUCUCUCCUGGGUAUUGGCGUGUGUUCCCAAGAUACAGGGGAAGCCUAGGACGUGUUCAUCCGUGGUGAAAACCUACCACAGGGUCGUUCAUAACUCCCCUUGCACUUCCAUGAAAGUGCCCUCCCACACACCUCUCUCCUUAAGGCUGUCUUGGCCUUUGGGAAUGAAUUCCGGCCAUCUACCUUCUUUCCUCACCAUUUGGGUGUGUUCUCAGGCCCUGUUGGAUGCUUUGGGUGAUAACAUCACGGAUCAAAACCACCAGAAAGUCGGUCAUAACUUCCCCCCUUGAUCUCUCCCAAAACUGCCUC
rnacentral:lncRNA from 1 species